ACCAAUACAUUUGUGUUUAAAAAAAUAUAUAAAACAUGAAAGCAACUUCCUAAUAUUUAUUCUUUUUAUAUUGCCUUAGGAUAGAUCCACAGCCCGACCACAGCGAUAACAAAUACAUUGUUUUUGAAAGCUGUCUUCGAGAGCUGUUUGUGUCCUGUCCAAUUUGAAAGACAAAGUGUGUUGUCCAGAGCAGACGAAGGGGGACUUUUGUUGCAUUCACCCAGCUUUGUGAAAAGUGUAACUACUACAGACAGUGGCAGAGCCAGCCCAUUGUAGGGAGUACCCCACUUGGAAACCUGCUAUUGUCUGCUGCAACGUAUUUUACCGGUGGAUCUUUUAAACAACUAGAGAAGGAUUCAUGCCAGGAAUUUCAUUGAGCCUACCAUAAUACACAAGUGGAACCAAGAUCAACUGAAUCUUAUAAGACAGCUGCAAGAGGGAGGAAAUGUUGCUGUGGCUGGAGAUAUGCGUGCUGACACGCCAGGACACUCAGCAAAAUUUGGCAGCUACACCAUUAUGCAAAUGGAAACCAACAAAAUUCUGGAUCUUCAACUAGUUCAG